rnacentral:lncRNA from 1 species
GGGAUACAAACGUGGUUGAUAUAAGUGGUCUGUAUACAGAGUCUGCUAAUGGAAAAGAUACUUUGGAAGGUGCUGGAGACACUUCAGAAGUGAUGGAUACCUAGGCAGGCUCUGUGGAUGAGGAGAAUGGGUGGCAGUUGGGAGAAGUCAAGUUGCAAUGCAGAAUAUGUGCAAAGUGUUUCAUCGCUCUCACCUUUGGAAUAGACACAUCGUCAUGUCUGCCUUUUAUGACCAACUACAUCUUCCACUGAAAUGUAUGCCAUCACAGUGGGAAUACCUGCUUUCUCCGGAAGCCAGCAAAUUUAAAAGUAAUGAGCCUUAGUGUUUUGGCGAACUUGACGAGGUAGUCUCGAAGACAGGAUGAACAUCCAAAAACCAUGUUCUCCAAAGAUACAGAUUUUAUACCAGUUAUUGAUAAAUACUGGGAAUGUAUAUACUAGACAGAGACCUGGAAAAGUGACUUGGCCCAAUAACAUUGUCAAAACAAUGAGUAAGAAAAGAGAUGUGUUCUUGUAAAGGAACACCCUGAUCCAGGAAGCAAAGACCCAGAAGAAGAUCACCCCAAGUUGGGACUUUUGGAUCAGAAUCUUAGUAAUAUUGAUCCUGCUUAUGACAAAUAGAAACAAAGCAGUGCUGUGUCUGUUAGUGGGAACCUAAAUGGGGGAUGGCAGCAGGAAGCAGUGGGAAAGCAAGCAGAGCCAAGCAUAUGUAGUAAGAUGGUGGAACAAAAGGGACCACAAAGAAGUGACCCUUUAUUUCUGCUCAGCAUCUCCCUCCUCAUGGCUAUCCUUUGGAACAUCCAUUUAACAAAGAUGGCUAUCGGUAUAUUCUAGCUGAGCCCGAUCCUCAUGUCCCUGACCCAGAGAAGCUUGAACUUGACUGCUGGGCAGGAAAACCUAUUCCUGGAGACCUUUAUGGAGCUUGCUUAUAGAAACGAGUCUCGUUAGCCCUACAUGAUCGA